AUUGAACGCUGGCGGCAGGCCUAAUACAUGCAAGUCGAACGCAGUGGGGACGGGUGAGUAACACGUGGGUAACCUCCCAUCAGAGGGGAUAACACUUGGAAACAGGUGCUAAACCGAUACUGCUGGAUGGACCAGCGGUGCAUUAGCUAGUUGGUGAGGUAACGGCUCACCAAGGCCACGAUGAAUAGCCGACCUGAGAGGGUGAUCGGCCACACUGGAACUGAGACACGGUCCAGACUCCUACGUGAGGCAGCAGUGGGGAAUAUUGGACAAUGGGCGAAAGCCUGAUCCAGCCAUGCCGCGUGUAUGAAGAAGGCCUUCGGGUUGUAAAGUACUUUCAGCGGGGAGGCGUUACCCGCAGAAGAAGCACCGGCUAACUCCGUGCCAGCAGCCGCGGUAAUAC
rnacentral:rRNA from 1 species